CUUGUGUCGAAGGUGUCGGCAGGAACUUCAAGUUAUUGAUUCACUAAAACAAACUUUGCUAUACACGUUAACCUGAUGAUAAUUUUCAUUGUGACUAAGUCAAAUGAAAACCGUUCGAGGUGAUUUUGAAACUUUUUGUCAACGAAAUUGCUUGUGAUUAUGGGGGAGAGGACUUCGCAAUACAGUUACCAAAAGGGCUAUGCAAGUGCAGUUUCAUUUAGGGACAGGAGAUGGCGCUGUUCACUCAUCUCAGGCUCCAGUUGCGGUGUAUGACAAUACCUCAGCGGUACGACAGUGUGUGAAUGGAGUGGAUCUAUUCUACCAGCAGACUGGAACAGGAGCGCAUGCUUCGUUACUACUGCCUGGAGCUCUGGGAAGUGCUCAGACUGACUUUGGGCCGCAGCUGAAGUCUGUUAAUAAGGAAUUCUUCAGGGUCAUUGGCUGGGACCUUCGCAGGUACAGAAACUUCCGCCUCCCGGAGAGACUUCCCUCUGGACUUCUUUGAAAGGGAUGCCCAGGAUGCUGUGGACCUGAUGCAGGUCUGACCAAUCAGUGCAGAGUGAUUUUCCUUUUUACACAGUGAUAAAAAUGACUUACAUUAACUACACAGCUGCCUCUCACUCUCUGUUUGUGUGAUGGACGGUAAGUUCUGUUUUUCGUUUUUACUCAUUAGCAAAUGUGUGUCUUUGUCAUCUUUGCUCAUCUGUGAAUGUGUGCCUUUUUUCUCUGUGUUUCUCUGUGACUGUGUGUUUUCUCCUUCAGGCGUUGAGUUUCCCAGGUUCUCUCUGUUGGCCUGGAGUGAUAGAGCCAAGAACCCCUCUCUGAUCAAUAAGAUGGUGGUGUGGGGCUCCAACGCAUAUGUCUCACCCCAAGACAAACAUCUACAGUGCGAUCCAUGAUGUGUCUCAGUGGAGUGAGAGGAUGAGGAGGCCCAUGGAGGAGGUAUAUGCGGCAGAGCUCUUCAUUAAGACCUGGGAAGGAUGGGUGGACGGGAAUGGACAGUUCGCCCAGAGACCAGAAGGUUGCACCUGAUGCCGGAAGGACAAUACAACCUGCACCUGAGGUUUGCUGUUGGAAGACGUCCUAAGCAAGUGAUAGACAUACUGUCUGCGUCCCAAAUGGUACUGUAUUCCUAUUGACCAUGGCCCAUAGGGUUCUGUUCAAAAGAA